UAUCCACGGCCUAGGGACUCUGA
rnacentral:rRNA from 1 species